GGAGAAAGAUGACAUGGAAGCCUUGAUAGCAUUAAAGCAAUCCCAAAAGGGAUUAGGAUCAGAUCUGAGGACAACAUUUCUGCUUCAAUCAAGCUGGACUGUUCCACUGCUCUUGUUUUGCAUACAAGAAUUCAAGAUGUGAAGCCAGUGUGGCAGAAGCAGCUCUGCAAUAAACACUGAAGAGGAUGACUUCACUGAGCAUUUGGCUUUUUCUUCUUUGAGAUAACAUGUGGUUAUAGAAAUAAAUCAGAGCUAGAAGGACGGAUCACUUCCCAGCCGUGCCUUUCACUUAGCAAAAUGGACUUAUCCUGCAAUGGGACAUUUUCCAUCAAAGCCAGUUGUCUGUAUGCAUCUGCACUGAGCGUGUACUCUCUUUGAAUCUGAGUCCACAGGCAGAAGUGGACACCAUGUCAGAGGAUCCUAAAUAACGUUUGCUAUCUCCUUUAUUUGAAAGUGAACUUCCUGUUAGCAGCGCUCCGACUCAAAGGCAUGCAACCACUAACACGCUUCAAAGUGAGUGACUGCCUUUCUCCAGCCCUGGCAGCCCAGAAUGAAGAAGACACCUUGCCUCAGGGGACGCUCGUGGCUCUGAGUGAUGGGCGUCAGUGCAGCAAUUAAUCUGCCAGCCGCUGGGAUAGCUGUGCUGGAAUUCAGGACAAACACAUCAACACUCAUUCUCAAUGGGGAUGGGCGUUCCAUAGGGUACAACGGCCCUUUAUUUCUGCUUGUGGUGUCUGCAAAGGGCAUGGGUCAAGACCUUGGGUCUGAGGAGAGGUGGCCUAGAUCAGUCAAGAGAGAUGUAAGCAGCAUCAGGAACCAUCUGCAAACAGCCGACAGCAGGCUUCCUUUCUCAUAAAAUAUUCAAAAUCCACAGGAUCGUCACUGAUGGCUGGAUUAGCGUAGG
ensembl:lncRNA